rnacentral:tRNA from 1 species
GGUACGGUAGCCAAGUGGUAAGGCCGCGGUUUGCAAAACCGUUAUGCGUGGGUUCGAUUCCCUCCCGUACCU